rnacentral:rRNA from 1 species
AUGAACGCUGGCGGCGUGCCUAAUACAUGCAAGUCGCGCGAACGGACGAGAAGCUUGCUUCUCUGAUGUUAGCGGCGGACGGGUGAGUAACACGUGGAUAACCUACCUAUAAGACUGGGAUAACUUCGGGAAACCGGAGCUAAUACCGGAUAAUAUUUUGAACCGCAUGGUUCAAAAGUGAAAGACGGUCUUGCUGUCACUUAUAGAUGGAUCCGCGCUGCAUUAGCUAGUUGGUAAGGUAACGGCUUACCAAGGCAACGAUGCAUAGCCGACCUGAGAGGGUGAUCGGCCACACUGGAACUGAGACACGGUCCAGACUCCUACGGGAGGCAGCAGUAGGAAAUCUUCCGCAAUGGGCGAAAGCCUGACGGAGCAACGCCGCGUGAGUGAUGAAGGUCUUCGGAUCGUAAAACUCUGUUAUUAGGGAAGAACAUAUGUGUAAGUAACUGUGCACAUCUUGACGGUACCUAAUCAGAAAGCCACGGCUAACUACGUG